AGGGGGAGGCAGACCNCAAAAAAGGACGUCCCAGUUCGGAUUACAGCCUGCAACCCGGCUGUAUGAAGCUGGAAUCGCUAGUAAUCGUAGAUCAGAAUGCUGCGGUGAAUACGUUCCCGGGUCUUGUACACACCGCCCGUCACACCAUGGGAGUUGGAAAUGCCCGAAGUCAGUGACCGAACCGAAAGGAAGGAGCUGCCGAAGGUGGAGCCGAUGACUGGGGUGAAGUCGUAACAAGGUACC
rnacentral:rRNA from 1 species